GUGCACAUGAUGAAGAAAAUCACUAUGAAUUCUAUGAUUUCUCUAAAAGUAAACGCUUACUGAUGCA
rnacentral:snoRNA from 1 species